UACGGGGGGGGCAAGCGUUAUCCGGAAUUACUGGGCGUAAAGCGCACGUAGGCGGCUUUGCAAGUUAGAGGUGAAAGCCCGGGGCUCAACCCCGGAAUUGCCUUUAAAACUGCAUCGCUAGAAUUGUGGAGAGGUAAGUGGAAUUCCGAGUGUAGAGGUGAAAUUCGUAGAUAUUCGGAAGAACACCAGUGGCGAAGGCGACUUACUGGACACAUAUUGACGCUGAGGUGCGAAAGCGUGGGGAGCAAACAGG
rnacentral:rRNA from 1 species